rnacentral:rRNA from 1 species
UACAGAGGUCUCAAGCGUUUGUUCGGAUUCAUUGGGCGUAAAGGGUGCGUAGGCGGCGCGGUAAGUCGGGUGUGAAAUCUUGGAGCUUAACUCCGAAACUGCAUUCGAUACUGCCGUGCUUGAGGACUGGAGAGGAGACUGGAAUUUACGGUGUAGCGGUGAAAUGCGUAGAUAUCGUAAGGAAGACCAGUGGCGAAGGCGGGGUCUCUGGACAGUUCCUGACGCUGAGGCACGAAGGCCAGGGGGGAGCAAAACGGGG